rnacentral:rRNA from 1 species
ACUGAACGCUGGCGGCAGGCCUAACACAUGCAAGUCGAGCGGAUGAAGGGAGCUUGCUCCUGGAUUCAGCGGCGGACGGGUGAGUAAUGCCUAGGAAUCUGCCUGGUAGUGGGGGAUAACGUCCGGAUACGGGCGCUAAUACCGCAUACGUCCUGAGGGAGAAAGUGGGGGAUCUUCGGACCUCACGCUAUCAGAUGAGCCUAGGUCGGAUUAGCUAGUUGGUGGGGUAAAGGCCUACCAAGGCGACGAUCCGUAACUGGUCUGAGAGGAUGAUCAGUCACACUGGAACUGAGACACGGUCCAGACCCCUACGGGAGGCAGCAGUGGGGAAUAGUGGACAAUGGGCGAAAGCCUGAUCCAGCCAUGCCGCGUGUGUGAAGAAGGUCUUCGGAUUGUAAAGCACUUUAAGUUGGGAGGAAGGGCAGUAAGUUAAUACCUUGCUGUUUUGACGUUACCAACAGAAUAAGCACCGGCUAACUUCGUG